rnacentral:rRNA from 1 species
GAUGAACGCUGACAGAAUGCUUAACACAUGCAAGUCGACUCGAGUCUUCGGACUUGGGUGGCGCACGGGUGAGUAACGCGUAAAGAACUUGCCUCUUAGACCGGGACAACAUCUGGAAACGGAUGCUAAUACCGGAUAUUAUGGUUUUUUCGCAUGGAGGAAUCAUGAAAGCUAGAUGCGCUAAGAGAGAGCUUUGCGUCCCAUUAGCUAGUUGGUGAGGUAACGGCCCACCAAGGCAAUGAUGGGUAGCCGGCCUGAGAGGGUGAACGGCCACAUUGGGACUGAGACACGGCCCAG